rnacentral:rRNA from 1 species
CCUACGGGAGGCAGCAGUGGGGAAUUUUCCGCAAUGGGCGAAAGCCUGACGGAGCAAUACCGCGUGAGGGAGGAAGGCUCUUGGGUUGUAAACCUCUUUUCUCAGGGAAGAACAAAUGACGGUACCUGAGGAAUAAGCAUCGGCUAACUCCGUGCCAGCAGCCGCGGUAAUACGGAGGAUGCAAGCGUUAUCCGGAAUGAUUGGGCGUAAAGCGUCCGCAGGUGGGUGUUCAAGUCUGCUGUCAAAGGUCGGGGCUCAACUCCGUUAAGGCAGUGGAAACUGAACAGCUAGAGUGCGGUAGGGGUAGAGGGAAUUCCCAGUGUAGCGGUGAAAUGCGUAGAGAUUGGGAAGAACACCGGUGGCGAAAGCGCUCUACUGGACCGCAACUGACACUCAGGGACGAAAGCUAGGGGAGCGAAUGGGAUUAGAUACCCCAGUAGUCCUAGCCGUAAACGAUGGAUACUAGGUGUUGCUGGUAUCGACCCCAGCAGUAUCGUAGCUACGUACGUUAAGUUAUCCGUCCGUCGGGUAGGUACGCGCGCGAGCGNGAACGUACGAAAGAAAGUAGACGGUCGUGAGACGUUGUCCGACGGACGACGACGAGGGAGGAGG